UGGGCUUGUCUUGUUUCAUCUAAGUAUAGAUUUCAGGAUAUCUGGCACAAUUAUCAUAAACCUCGUUCCUCUUCUAUAAUGUGGAGUCAUAUUUUUGCGCCGGGGGCAUAAGAUUCAAGAUCAGUUUUGAUGGGUUUUUGGAGAUAUCUCUUGCAUUAAUGUACUUAUGGAUCCAUGGCUAUCUAAUACUCCUCUUAGUCGCUGGCCAACUUUUGUGAAUACUUAAUCUUACUCUCUAGAAUUAGUUUGUCAAAGAUUUGAUAAUUGAAGAUAGAUCAUGGGAUAUUGGAAAGCUAGCAUCUAUGUUUUCCCCUGAGCUGGUUGCCAUUGUCAACUGGACUCCG
rnacentral:lncRNA from 1 species